AUGGAGUUAAAGGUUGGAGACCCUGGGGCAGGUUCCAGCCUUGAAACAUAAGACCUGACCCGGCCUCUGCCCUCAAGUAUCAAUGAGCUCUAACCUGGGCUGGUACCAGGGGGUUCUGAAGGAAUUGGAUAAGAGUUCUUGCCCUGGAAAAGCUUACAUCUCAUCAGAAGCAGGGCAUAAGGCCCACACGAGGGAAUUAAAGAAUCCCAUGAGGCAAGAUGAACCAGGAGCUAAACCGGAUGGCACAGACAUCAGCUGCUGUAAAACUUCAGAGAAGAAAGGGAAGGAGCUGGGUACCACCGGAACCUCCGUUCUGAGCUACCGAGGUUGCAAAUCCUGAGGGAACUCAGCAGCAUCGGACUUUGACAGGAGGAGAUUGGAGCCAAUGAAAAAGACAAGAUGCAUAUGCGGAAGGAAGUGAUGUGGGCAAAAGACUAAGGGAUGGUCUCGGAAGUUCAGCAAACACCGACUGAAACCCGUUCUCUUGUGCUUGUGAGAAGACUAGGAGGCAAAGAUGUCAGAGCGAAAGUUUUGAACAAAUACCAGUUUUGACCAGUCAAAGAUCCUCAAGCUCAGGGUCCCCAGGACUGGCACCAUGUGGUGCGGUCAACGGCCCCUUCAGCCCGACGUGUGAGACCUGAGGAGAAUACAGCUACGGGGGAAAGAAAUUCGACGCGCAAAGAGAGGGCGCAGAACAGGCCUCCAGGGACCCGCCCACCUUCCGUUUCCGCUUCCGGUUCUGUUUCCGUACGUCGAGUGCGUGCGCUACCAGGCAGACAGCACCUUCAAGACAGACCCCGAAGGCACGGACUGCACCGUGGAGCACAGGGCUACAGGGAACUUCCAGGCCGAGAAGCCCCUGGAGCAGGAGGAGAAGAGGCUGCGGGAGGACGAGGGGCUGAGCAACCCCAUGAAGGUGCUGGAGAACCAACCCAAGGCCUCCAGGCUGGGAUGGAGACUGGAGAACCUGCAGGAGCUCGAGGACCUGAGCCGGCGGAGGCCCCCAGGGACUUUGAGGCCGCACUGCGGCAGCACCGCCUGCGAGGAGGACGGGCAGGAGCAGGAGGAGGACGAGAGGGAGACGGCGGCCUUAGUGGAAGAAGCUAGCAAACGAAGACCGCUGGAGACUCCCAUUCAGAGGAGGAUGCUGCUGCUCCCACGCUGCUUGACUGGCCCUCCAGCCCAACCCCGCCACAUCCUGGACGAGGCCCCCAAGGCCAGGAGGAAAGCUGAGAGCUGAGAGCGGAGCGUGGGCACCCUUGGCAGCAGACCUGGAGGCCUGAUCGUGGUGAAGAAAACGGGCCUGGAUCGCAGCACCAGGCAGGGCCGGCUGCCCCUGCCCUGGGUGCCGUGAGGAACAGGAAGGCAGCUGACCCUGCACCCCUGGACGCCUAGCACUCCCUCCCUGAGCCAGGUGGGUGCAUAUUUGGGCAGCGAGGACAGCCACGGCAGCAACUGAGGUCUUCGCCCCUGUCCAGGCCCUUCCCCAGGUCAAAGGUUACACAUUCUGCUCCAGACAGUGGUCGGGAGGCGGUGGCACCAACCAGAGCCACGACUGGACAAGCAUGAACAUCCUCCAAGGCCGGUGGGGCCAGCAAGGGUUUCAGCCCAGAGACUCGGUUUCUCUCCUGUCCCCAUACCCACCAGCCCUCUGGGACCUUGGAGUACCCAGCUCAGGCUGCCCCCCACCUGGCACCAAGAUCAAGACUCCAGCAUCCCUGGAGCCGCUCUCAGCUACUGCUUGCUCGCUGUGGUGAAGCCAGCUGCCAUGUUGUGAGCUGCCCUGCGGAGAAGCCCACAUGGGCCAUUGCUCACUGAGCAAGAAGCAGGCGUUGAGACCUAGCGUGCCAGAGCCAUCUUGACACCCAGGAAUUCAGAACUGUUUUGAAUAACCAAAUCCAACUGUGAAGUCAAGGCAGCAUCCCACUCACCCGGACCCUCGUUUUAGCUACAGCAAUAAAGCUGCUCUUGUCACUCCCCAGCCCAGACCCUGAGGCAGACAGCAUGCUCACCUUGGGGACAUCAGUGCUCUUUCCUGAUCCCCACUGUGCUGUGGACCGAGAAAUCUCCCAGCCUCGCUGACCUCAGCUCUAUUCCUUGUGCCAAAAAGGAGUAGCAGCCAAAAAAAAAAAAAAAAAGAGGCAUGAGAGAACAAAUUUUAAGGAGAAACAUAUUUACAGAUAUUCAUUUUCUUGCUUUCAGCACCUGAACUAUGAAACCCUGGAAAGUCGCAAUUUGCAAUCGAAUGUCAGACACACAAACUUCUGGCUGAGGAGCGUAGUUGUGUCAGCUUCCUGCAAUUCUCAAAACCAGCUCUGUGGGGAUUUACAAUGGUUUGCACAAGAGGGGCCUUAGCCACCAAAAAGUAGGAAAGAAAGGGCAUGAAGCUUUGCACAACUGUAGGAGGGCUUUUUGUGUGUAAAUCCAGUACCUAAUUUAACCCCUGCACCUAGGGGAUCACGCAUCAGCCAGGAGCCCCACUUCCUGGCUGCUCCUCCUUAUAUAAGAAGCCAGGACUCCAGGCCCAGCUCUCCCAGGCAACAGCCAUUUCCUGGAUCCCGUUAAGGAGGCAGAAAGAAACCACAGAAAUCUGAAGGACAGGGGAAAACAGCUUUGGGUCUAGGGACUGAUGCCCUGCUGACACGGGCUCAUUCACUCCUGCCCUGACCCAGGAUGGGAGGCAGGAUGGGAGGCAGGAUGGGCGCAACUUGCAGGAGAAUAUUUUCUCUGUGUUCAGAGCACUCUUGGGAAUUUUCCGAGAAAGUGGGGAAAGGGAGCUGAUCCAAAGCAAUGCCAUGCUUGCCCUGUCACUGUGACGUAUUGUGGCCCCCCAAAAAUACGGUUUGGUCCCUGCAAUCACUGCCCCCUUGGUGCCUCCAAACGCUCCCUUGUGGUCACUGCGCGCCCAUGCAGCUGCUGUCUCUCGGUCACCAUUCCCGGUCAUCCCAGCCACACCCGGGGGUGCAGGAGACAAAAAGAUGUGGCAAGGCUGAAGGCCCUUGCACGCGAUCUAAAGGCAGCUCUGGGUCAACUGCAGCAUCUUGCGCUUGGCCGAGAGCGUCUGGGGCUCCAGGCACAGGUGGAGGUGGCGGCCAGGUGGGAGGAGCUGCGGGGAGACCUCUGCCCCUCCUCUCCGGAGCCUAAGUUCCAGAACAGCUGUGCCCGCAAAGCCUAGAAAAGUGCCUGAAGCACAGUGGCUGCUCAUCAAGUAUUUCUGGAAGCAGGAGGGAGGAGAGGCCGAGGUGGGUGAGAGCGGGGAGCGGGGAAAAGGACUUGCCCAGUGCCCCCGGGUCCGCAGCGCGAGAUGCUCCCCAGGGUGGUCAUUCGGCGCUGCUCUAGAUGGGCUCUGCACAACCACGCCCCCAGCCUCCCAGGGCAACCACGCCCCGUUAUUACAGGCGCGGUGCGCCCCGCAGAGAAAGAAAGAAAAAUAAAGAGGGAUAAAGGGCCUUGCCAUGUGGCUACAUUUCUUUUCUUCCUCCCGACUCCCCCAGGAUUUUGCCCAUUUGGACUAAGACAGGCUAAGGAGGCACUGCCCCCUUGUGGCAUCUUCCCGUCACAGCAACUGUUUUAAUUUGGGGCAGCAUUCCGUUUCCCCUCAGACAUUUUUAUUCUGUACAGCUUCGCCGCUCUGUCCGUUUGAAGUGACUUUCUGCUUCCUCUCGGCCACCCCACCUUGGGGUAGGCACAAGAGGGUCACAAUAUCAGCAUACAGUGGCAUUUUUCUGGUUCAGCCCCACUUGUGAGUACUGUGAAUCUCCACAAGUUCCAACCACUUAGUUCAAAAAAAUCCCAGGGAGUCUGGGCCACUCUGUGACAUUCACCAUUUUGUGUUGCUAAGGUGAUGCUUUCUCUGCCCCUUGCUCUCUCUAUCUUCUCCAUACUCUCAGUUCUGCGCUCCAAUAUGGCCCCUGUCCGGGACCCUGAGAAUAAAGUUGUGCUGCUCUGAUCCAGGGAGCUCAGCCUUACUCAAAGCUGCCCUUUCCCUCUGACUGUAGGUAGCUGUCCCAGCAAGCUGGUGCCAUCCGCAGAUGCCCUCCUUCCUUAGAGCCCCCACGCAGUAGCCUGUCAGUAUUAUUCCACGGCCCUCCCCCAAGGCGCUCACAUCAGACUCUCAAAACUAAAACUCCUGCUGUAUUUGCAAAGUGCCUUCUUCUUACACUUUAAACCAACAGUUGUCUCAGAUAUUAUCAUUGACAGAGAAAGUGUUAAUUAGUUAUAAAGGAAAACAGCAGAGAAUGAGGACAUCUGGAUCCCAGCCCUAAUGGUCACCAACCAGCUCUGUGACCCUGGAGUUCUCUGUGCCUGUUAAAAGAGCAAGGGGUGAGUGUAGAAGCCGAGAAGAUAGGACCUGUGGUGUUCAUGAGGAAGACGCAACUCGGGAAGGAGGCAGUGGAGCAAAGGAUGAGAGAGUGGGCAUCAGGGCGUGUUGUCUCAGUCUCACCCACUCCAGGAGCUGAGCCCUGUGGUGUCUCAGGGAUCUUUGAGGUACUUUGGGGUGACCAGAGAAGAGUUCAUGGAGGCCAGGCAUGGCCCUGAGGAGAGGGCACAACAGGUGCAGCGGACGUCCAACACAGACCUGGCGGAAGACAUGAAAGGAUUUGUUCCCAAACACGUGAUGAGCAAAACUGAAGACUUUCGGAAAUGCCUGUGUCAUUGGGGUGUUGGGGGACACCAAGGUCUUGUCAUUGUGAGGGGCCCUGCAGUGGGGGUAAUGAAGCUUAUUGAUGGAUGCCAGAUUGGCUGCUCCUGGGUAUUCCCAGGGGAUAUAAUCGGGGCUCGUGUAGAUCACUGGACCCUGGUGCCUUGGUACCCUGGUGCCGUGCAUGUGGACAUCACGCACUUCUGCCACCCUUGGGAGAGAAGCAUUUUAUUCAUUAGGGAAACCCUGGAAGGCGUGUCGGCAGAGAGAUCUGGUGCAUGUGGUUGAAUACGGACCCAGAGUUCCCCCCGCUGGCUUUUGAGACCCCAGAGAGCAGUGAUGAGGCAACCACGGAAGAGACCCUCACGGGCUGCACUGAGCCUCUGGGCAGGUCUAGAGAUGUGUUCAGAUGUUCAGGAGGGAGAAAAACGCAAAGAGCUUUCCCCAGGCUUGCACUGAUUCCUGAUCACUCCAUGUUCCUAGGAAAAAGACACCUGAAAGUACUCUUUAAGUUCCCGACCUCAGACCCCUAGUUUUCAGGACUGGGUCUUCCUCGAGACUAGGGGGGGCAAACAAUGUCAGGUGUGCCAGGAUCGGGGACUCUCUGAAGAUACAGACAAGUAAACUGGGACCAGUGAUUCCUGAAGCCAGAUCUACCCCUGCCUUUCCAGUCACAUGAUCCAAUAAAUCCCCUUUGUGCUUCAGUUCCAGAGAGCAAGGCUUUUUGUUACACGGUACCAAAUGAGGCCUCUUACAAAACAAGAGCUUGUUAAGACUUCGCAAAAGGUCGGAUAUGGGCUAACCAGAGGGCAACACCUCAGGCAAUGGCAACGUAAAGCGUGGUUGAUUGGGAGGGCUGCAGUGCUAGUAAGACAGAGAAGGUAGGUAGGUGGAGUCCAGUUUUCCUGUGGCAUGUGAACUGAAUUAAAACGGCAGUCUAUACUUCUGAACGCUCAGUGUAGGCUGGUACAAUAGACUUUGGAUCCAUGAGAAGCCUGUUUCACAUUUUCAUAUUGCAGGCUAAUCUCUCUUCCCAUCGCUAACCACCUCUCACCCUUGCACUUCAAGAUAUCAGUACUUAACACUUAAUUUUGAAGUGCAUCGGCGCCUGAAAACAACCCCACACAAUAAUAAAAUUCUCCCCGCGUCCGAAUGGCACGAACUAACGACACACAGAGAAGAGGCCCCUGUGGACUGAGG
rnacentral:lncRNA from 1 species